ACGACCGGCAAACGGGUGCGGAACACGUACACAACCUUCCUACAAGUGGGGAAUAGCCCAGAGAAAUUUGGAUUAAUACCCCGUAACAUAGCGAUGUGGCAUCACCAUUGCUAUAUAGCUUCGGCGCUUGUUGAGUGGAUGUGCGUCCUGAUUAGCUAGUUGGUGGGGUUAAAAGGCCUACCAAGGCGACGAUCAGUAGGGGGCGUGAGAGCGUGAACCCCCACACGGGUACUGAGACACGGACCCCGACUCCUACGGGAGGCAGCAGUAAGGAAUAUUGGUCAAUGCCCGACAGGGUGAACCAGCCAUUCCGCGUGGAGGAUGAAGGCCCCUAUGGGUUGUAAACUUCUUUUAGAUGGGAAUAAAAUGCCCUUUGCGAAGGGUACUGAAGGUACCAUCAGAAUAAGCACCGGCUAACUCCGUG
rnacentral:rRNA from 1 species